rnacentral:lncRNA from 1 species
UGAACACCAUGUCUGCCCAUGUGAUAGGGUGGAAUUCUUCUGUCCUUCUCACCUGAGUACAACAGGCUUGUGCCAUCCAGAAGAAUGAAAAGGUAACUCAGAAUAUGUGGGGUCCUUAUAGCCCAGGUGGAUAUCCUUAUGAAGAAGAAGAAGUAUGGGCCCCACAAAUCGCAGCCCCACCUCAGGACUUCUGGGGAGGAGAGAGAGAGGAGCUGGAGACAGAGUUCUAUCACCGAUGACCAGUGAUUUAUCAACCAUGCCUACAUAGUGGAACUGCCAUAAAAACCCCUAAAUGACAAAGUUUGAAGAGCUUCUGAGUUGGUGAACACAUGAAGAUGCUGAGAGGGUGGUGUGCACACAGGGCAUGGAAGCUUUGUGCCCCUUCCUCCAUACCUUUCCCUAUGCCUCUUCCAUUUGGCUAUUCCUGAUUUGAGUUCUUCAUAAUAAAUUGGUAAUUGUAAGUAAAAUACU